UCUGCCCCUCGGAGCAUAGCAGGUGGUGUGGCUGCUGUGUCACAUGUGUGUCAGUAGGUGGCAGAGAGGAGAGAGGCUAUGCCUACACUCAGUGUUCUGACUUGUGAACAUCUGAAUGAUUAGUAACCUAACAUC